rnacentral:lncRNA from 1 species
AUCCGUGUGGAGCAUUCAAAAGCAUUCCAAUGGAACCUCUCAGGUCAUCCAUCAGUUACUUUGAAAACAGGCAGAGCUCUGCCUUGUGACAUCUGGCCAAUCUCCGGACCACUUUGAUCUUAUAAUCAGGAACCCAUCUACCACAGCAGCCACAGCCUCCAUCACAGCUAGAUGCUGUUUCGAACAACCAUUCUGCAAUAAUAACAUUUCAGAUCCUUUCUACAGGAAGCCAUAAGUAUAGUAUACCCAUGUUUGCCUUCCAAGUAACCUCAGGUUGAGGUUGCAGGCCUCAUACGGAGGGAACCCAUUUGGGGGUCUGAGAAGAAAAAAAAAAGCCUCUGGUUGAAUGCAGCAUAAUCAUAUCUGUUCACAUUCUCAUAGCCAGAGAAAAUGACCUGGUUAAAUCCAAAAUUGAAAGGAGAAAUAUAUUCACUCUACAACAAGAAGCAGGUAGGAUUUUUUAAAAAGUGGCACGACAUACUUACCAAUAGCUGAAGAUAGCAAUUGGGAUAUUGUCAGUGGCCACAAUAACAUCGAAGUUGAGAAAAUGAGAGCUCUGGGGCCAAAAGCAG